GUGCUCACUUCAGCAGUACAUAUUCUAAAAUUGGAAUGAUACAGAGAAGAUUAACAUGGCCCCGUACAAUGAUUACACCCAAGUUUAUGAAGUAUUCCAUAUUUUA
ensembl:snRNA U6 U6 spliceosomal RNA